UCUAAUAACAACAAAAUACUGUUGUUUGUUUUGGUUUACCCCACCCCACUCCCACGUUAUCGUUAUCGUUAUCAGUACCACUACCGGUCUGUACUGUCCAAGACAUCGAUUCGAUGAUCGAUGGCGGUUGUGGUCAGUGUUGAAUUGAAAGCAACUGGUGGAUUUGUUAUAGAGCCCAAUAAAAAGUUUAACUUAGGCCUAAUUAGGUAAUCGAAAUCCACAGACCCACUGCAAAAUAGCCUUUAACCUAACUCUCUUAUGUAUUUAACCUAUCUCUCUUUUGGGUAAACAUACAGCCUAAGUUAGGGCCCAGGUUUGGAAUCAGCUUUACAGAAAAGCUGAACAAUGAGUGAUAUUUCUGAAUCGUCUAUCUCACAGUUUUUACUAGCAUUGGAUGGAAGAGAGGAAGCUGACGCCACAACUGCCUUUACCUCAUCUACUGCUACUACAGUUAUUGCGAAAUUUGGAUCAAAAGCAGGUCAGUCAGCCACGGAUGUUCCCACGGAGGAACUUUCCUUCCGAGACUUUGUACGGAUGCAUCCUGAGCUAGGCUGGAAUGUUGAUGACAUUAAAGACGAAGAUGAAGAGCCUUUGCCAAUCGCAAUGUUACCUGGUGAACUGCCUUCAAUGGAGGUGUCGAAGACCAGAUCGGACAAAAGCAGCAGUCCAGAUUCCAUGAUGAGAAUACUUCUAGAACCUCCUCCGUCUAUGCUCGUGUCAGAAGCCUCCCUUGAACCGGGGAAAUCUCCUGGCUCAUCACACUUGGACAAAAGCAGCAGCUCCGACUCGAUGAUGAGAACACUUCUAGAACCUCCUCCGUCUAUGCUCAUGUCGGAACCCUCCUUUGAACUGAGGCAAUCUUCCAGCGUAUCACAUAAAAAGGUUCACAAAUCAGCAGUUGACCAGACACUUGGGUUCCAUGUACAACCAGAUAAUAAAGAUUCUAGAAAAUCAUCGUCAUCAGAUAGAUCUCACCACAGAAAGAGAAGACAUGAUCGAAGAAUAGAGCAUAGAUCUACUUCAACAUCUUCAGAUGGCCGCUCUGCUAGAGGCCUCUUUCAAACUGUUUUGGAGAAACCUAAACGUCUUCGUAAACGUGCUAUAGACAUUGAUCCAGGCACUCUUGGAGUGGCAACCCUGAGUCGAGUGUUGAGGGAGGAAGAAAUGUUGGAUAGAGAGUUGGAGGAGGAUGCUAGAAGUAUUGGAUAUCCACGAGAACCUCCACCGUGUGCAUGCGGAGUGUCGAAGCACCCACUUUGCUGGUCUGACGCACAUAUACAGAAAGUACACAACUACAGCUUUCUGUUGUGUUGCGAGGACUUACUGCUGGAUGAACAACUGAUUUUGGCAGCAAACAACACAAACACAAUCGUUGUGUAUAACAUUCCAAUGACAAGCACCAAUCCUCUCAAACUGAAGGCCGAACAAGUGCUCAAGUACAUUGAUGUAGAGAUAGGCUUUGGGGACAGAACUUGUUUUAAUAUAUUUCAUUAUGUUCAGAAGAGUGAUCGCAAGAUGUAUAUGGCAGUUUCUCACAAACGGGUUGUGGGAAUCGUGGUCGCAGAGAAGCUCCUUCAGGCUCAUCGUAUUCUCCGUCAAAAUAGAAGCUACAUGGAUUUGGAGGAGAACCCUGUACCAGUGAGAGUGGGUAUUAACCGCCUGUGGGUUCAUAUGAGCUUGAGACGUCAGCAUUUGGCGACUCUACUUUGUGAUUUGGUGGGGCAACGCUUUUAUGAAAAAGAAAAAUUAAAAAAAGAAGAUUUUGCUUUCAAUGAGAUAUCUGAUUCUUUGGUGCUUUUUGCCAAAAUUUACCUGCAAACUCUGAGGCCCCCAUUGUACUGCAGUUUGGAGUAGAACCUUAUUUACUGUGAAAGUGAACUAUCUUAUUUAUUUAUAUUAAAUUAAAUGAAUACACAUUCAUGUCAUAUUUAAUCAAAUGGUAAAAUAGUAUAUAAAAUAUUCUACUUUGUGCGUAUUUAUCAAUGUAAUAAAGCAUAUUGAGUACCCUGUCUUUUAUUCUAGGGUAACUUGGGACUUUUGUUUUAGAUUGUUAAUAUACUAGUACAGUAAUACAAUAAUACUUAAACUUGGGAGAAAUUUUCUGGUUCAGAAUAACAUAUUCACUAUUGCAAUAUGGAUCGGUAAUUACAUUUACAAAAGAAAAGAAAUGCAAAAGUGAUAUUGUUUGAUUCUUACAGUGUAUUAACAAUAGUCUACAACAAGUCUUUGACAAACUUGAUAUCUGCUUGCUUACUAUACUUCGCUCACAAAAUUUAGGCGGUUUGAGGGAAAAAUCCCCUCCACCUCACCGUAAAUUUGAAACAACAGCUGACAGCUGAUAAAUACAUUUAGCUAAAUAUAUUGGAAGAAAACUUCCCCUUGAAUCGCGUAAAUUUUGCGAAAGUAAGAAUGUUGUCAGUAAAUUCUUAUGAGCUAAUAGCUUUUUGAUGGUUUUCCUGGAUCCAGAUGUCUUUGAUCUUAAGGUUUUAAUCAAAAACGUUUUCACAAGUUGUCCAGGAUGAAGAAUCAGCUGUUUCAGGCUACAGCCACACUAGGCGACUUCGUCCAUGCAGCUAAGAAUAGAUCCGACCUAUUGUCGGACCAUCUACUUGUUUCCUGUCUGGGGUGAUAACGCUGUGCGCCUUCGGUUGACCGAAUGACCUAUCACAGGUAUUGCCGUAAUCACGGCAGGCGAUCACCGCUUUUGCCAGGACCGUAAGAUUUGCUCACGGGUAAUACUGGUGUCACAGAGACUACAAUGCAUACUCAAAGGUGUUGCUGUGGUAUCGAUAGACGAUUACCGGUGUUGCCGAGAACGCAAGAUAUGCUCAAGGGCGUUGCCGUGGUCGCAGAAGACGUUUGCCAGUGUCACCGGACCUAAAAUAUUUCAAGUGUUGCUUAAGGGAUGUCGGGAUCAAACCGUAGAAUAAAUCUGACGAGUGUGAGGGUGUCAACCCACAUGCUUGACGGAUAUACGAGGUUGGGACUGUUGGGAGUUUUGCCUGGUAACAUUGGAUCAAAAUAAGCCAAGUGUCUGACAUUUUAGAAAUGUGGUUCACUUGAAUGGGUCAAAAGUGUCCAGGUUGAAUGAGAUUUAAGAAUUGUGCUUUUGAUAAUGACAUUUAAUGAAAAUAAGCAAUUCUGUGCAGAGUGUAUUGGAAACUACAGAAAUCAGAGCUGCAGUAUGUGUAACAUCGUGAUUUUCUAC